AAUGAACGCUGGCGGCAUGCCUAACACAUGCAAGUCGAACGAAGGCUUCGGCCUUAGUGGCGCACGGGUGCGUAACGCGUGGGAAUCUGCCCUCAGGUUCGGAAUAACAGCGAGAAAUUGCUGCUAAUACCGGAUGAUAUCGCGAGAUCAAAGAUUUAUCGCCUGAGGAUGAGCCCGCGUAGGAUUAGCUUGUUGGUGUGGUAAAGGCGCACCAAGGCGACGGUCCUUAGCUGGUCUGAGAGGAUGGUCAGCCACACUGGGACUGAGACACGGCCCAGACUCCUACGGGAGGCAGCAGUGGGGAAUAUUGGACAAUGGGCGAAAGCCUGAUCCAGCAAUGCCGCGUGAGUGAUGAAGGCCUUAGGGUUGUAAAGCUCUUUUACCCGGGAUGAUAAUGACAGUACCGGGAGAAUAAGCUCCGGCUAACUCCGUGCCAGCCGCCGCCGUAA
rnacentral:rRNA from 1 species